rnacentral:lncRNA from 1 species
CUGAAUUAAAGCAAGUGAAUGACCGAUGACCGGAGGUGAAUUGCAAGUAAGGAAUUAUUUUGCCUCUUGACAAAUAGGGCCGAUGUCCCUUGUGGAGCACACAACUUCUGCGCAGGGAAGCAACACAAUCCUUCAGCCGAUGUAAUAUGUGCAGCAGUCCAUGUUAAAACAACUCUAUGGAUGCUUCAAAGCGUUGAUCGAUCAAGGGAACCGGUUCCCAGAUCACUGGAUUUAGAGAGCCCUGGAUGCUGACAAACGCACUCGCUGUUUCUGGCCUCGUCGAUAUAUUCUGGAAAAAAUCUGCGAUGCGUCAAGACGUGCACGUUGUAUAGUCCAGUACUUUUGGCAUGCCCUGAACACUGAAUGGCUCGUGUCCGAAUAUACUAAGGACACAAAUAGUCAGGUAUCCUGUCCCAGACUGGGUCUUGCUCGAGCUGGAUCCAGACUAUGCCUUUGCUCGGAAACAAAGCACUUCCAGCAAUCAAUGCACGUAGAAGCACCGUUGGGCGCCAGGGUUUGGGAGUAGAUGUGUGAGAACGACGCUUGCGUGACAUUGACGA